GCCCUCGGUGGCUCAUAUUGGUAGAGCGUCUGCUUUGUAAGCAAGAGAUCACGGGUUCGAGUCCCGGUUGGGGCA